CUCAAAACGCCGCGCUCUGUCCACCAAAUCUCUCGCGGAGCUGUUCACCCGAUACCGUUCACGAUGUCUGUGGUUCGUCAGAAACAAGAGAAAAAAAGUGACAAACAGGUUGAAUGAAAUUGAGAUUGACAUGACUUCAGGUUCCCUCUCUGAAGUGCAGUGACAUCGAUGCUACACCGUCGACUGGCCUUCAUUACAUGAAACACUCCAUUAGGCCUAUAAGUUCAUAAUUUACCUUUAUGGAGCGCUUAAAUUGUAUCACUCUAAUUUUGAAGCAAUCGUACAGUGGUGUUUUUUGAAUAAAUAUACUAACAAAGCAAAAUGCUCAGUGUUAAAUCAACAAGAGUUAAUUUUACUCUGAUGUAGUACAUUUUAUCCUUUGUGGGUUUACAUAGACGCUGCUAGAGCAGAAUCAACAAUGAACUUUUUAUUAUGUGUAGGCCUACGUAGCUCAGAAAAAUAAAUUGUGUUAUAUAUAUAUAUAUAUAUAUAUAUAUUAAUGUGAAGCACUACAUGUCUUGUCAGGAAUGGUUGCUAGGCCUAUGUUAUGCUUGAACGUGAAACAUGUACAUAUUUUUUACUUUUUUCAGUUUUAACCACCCAUUGGUCCUAUGCAUUACAGCAAUGAAACGUCCGUACAUUCAUGUAGUAUGAACAGGUCAUCAAAGAAGAUAACGAUAGGCGCAUCAACCUGGAACACCUCAAUUGACGGACGAGAUAAAAAUUAUAAACGUCGUUCAUUAAACACGCCUUCCACGUUAUGGUUUCACUAAAUUAUUAAUGUGUAAAGGCUAUUUGUUAAUAUUGAAUGCAUAAAAUUAAACAUUUUUAGUUAAUAAACUUUGCUAUUUAUUUAGUUUUCAACUGUUCAACUUUUGCAUAAAAAUGGUUACUACUUUUGAAUGUCCAAAAUGCAAUGGCAUUGCACUUAUUGCAGCUAGAUCAGUACAUUGCAGGAAUCGUUACAUUAUUAUUAUUAGUUUUAGAAGCAAUUGUAGGUAAUUUAUUUACUUUUAUUUUUUAUUUUUCAAGGAAUUCUUUUCUACUGACAUUUUUCUACAUUCUGGGCGUAUUACAUUUAAUUAAAUUACAUGCCACUGUCCCCAAUAAGUGUGCUGCAUUAUAUUCGUUAUUUGAAAUCAAGUUAUUUUGGAACCAAAUUUACGACCAUAAUGAAAAUAUGAUUCUUGCAUUUUUCGUUAUUAGUGGUCAUUGGUGUUAUAUUUCGUACACUGGUGAAUACAUUUGGCUACGACUGAAUGACAGAGGAAAAAAGUUGCAAAAAAUGUACAUUCCUCAGUUCUGCAUAAUUUGGCUUCUGCUAUAUAUAUUUAAUUGUAUGUAUAAUUCUUCAUGAUAACUAAAUAGAAAAAUUAAGGACUACAGGAUGAACGAUAGGCUGCCUAACGACCGCGCUUUAAAAUGUCGUCGUUCACAUGUUAGUUUUCAGAAUACUUUUAAAACGAAUCUAUUUUUGUUUUUUCAGAUAGCUUCAUCUUGGCCUAUUAAUAUUCUCACAAUUACAUUUCAGUCGACGAAUUUCCUUUCAGAUGCUUAAAGAAUAUGGCAAAAUCAAAGCGAUUAUAAUGGAGGAAUGAACCGAAAGGCGUCCCGGGGGAUUAAAAAAAUAACUGUUAAACCUUCGCUGGCAUGUGUGUAAUGUCUCCUAAUUGUACUCACACGGGGAAUGCAGAGGGAAAGUUAAGCCUGAACGCAUCAAUUAGAACCCGGCCGUGGGUAAUGAGCGCGGAGCGGAGCGGUUCUCACCGCGAGCGCGGACACAGCUUUUCUGACACCACACUGUUUUACUCCGUGGCAUAAUGUGGGCAUUGAAUCUACAAAACACUAUAAGCGGCGGCUUCGCUCAUGUUUGCAUCGAGUUGACUACGACGAGCCAAGCCUGGCCAGUGAUGCUAUCUUCUCAUGCAACCUAUUUAGGCUUCCCGUAGUUAUUUAUACUUGAGACGCUAACGUUACAACACAUGGCAGCCCUUGGCAUUAUUGAAUUAUGUGGAAAAAAAACAUCGGUUAUAUUAAGGGAUUUCAUUUUGCACAGAUAUUAUGUGAAUAAACGGGAACACAGUCUGGAUGGAUGGUUUCCAGAUAAAUAGGGACAAAUCGGCCUCGCCCUAUUGCCCUCUAACAAAACAACAAGGCAGUUGGUACCUAUACACAUUUUAGCAUUGGAUUAGCAACUGUAGUUUAAUGUAAUUAAAUGAAUACACUUUUACAACUCAGAGUUUAAGAUGAACUUAUGUACUGGUGUAACAUAUUUUGCCUAAGAUUAACUGGAACAAAGUUGACCGAACUCACUGGUUUGCACAGUAUACUUAGUUUGCUUAGUUUCAGGGAGAGGGUAAGCGUAACGGUACGCUAUAUUUUUAUAGUUUUCUCCUACAGUAAAAUUGCCUGAACGUAGAAACAGCAUGGGCUCCUCCUAACGCGCCUGUAAAUUAUCUAAUUAUAAUGGAAAACGGCUAAGACGUUUGGUAGUCAUAACACUUAUCUGAGAACAAUUUGUCACCAUCCGUUUAAUGUGCGCUUUUAAGAGAUUGUCCACACACAGUCAUGUUGUUCGCGAUUUAAGAGAAUGACAGGGCUUUUGUUUUCUUGACAAGUCUUUUGUAAAAUGAUGUUACCUGGUGUUGGAAAGUAACCUAUAUAGGCCCACUAUUAUUUUGGGAAAGUAAGUUUGAAAAAGAAAAACUGUUGUCUACAAAUUCCAUGCUGGAUAUUAUGAAGCUAUUAUUACGUUUUGAAGAAUUUGGCCUACUUAUCGGCGUCAGAAAGUUAAAGGUGCAACAAUAUUUUACAAUAGAAACUGUAAAAUAUUGUUGGCGAAACUAUUGAAACCACCCUUCUUUUCACACUUUGCUUGCUGUGCGGGCCCGUUAUUGCUAAUAAUUAAAUUUAAAGGCUUUAAUUAUGAUUGCAGGCCUACUUUUAGUUUUAAUAAGUGCCCUGCUAAUAGAGUUUUUUGUCUUUUGUUUUUAUUAUUGAAAUCAGUUCUGCUUAUAAAAUAAAAUCUAUACUCACCCAUCUGGAAGUUUUCACGAACUCGCCUGAUUUCUCAUCUUUGCCCCGGUUUUGCGUCUCAUUUUCUCUGCAAACGUGUCAUUGUUGGUCUCUGUUUUUCUGUCUUUUUUCAGGGUUCUUUUCAGAACGUCUUAUUAUAGCUUCAGGAAACCAACGGUACCGGGCAGCCUUAUUUUUUCCUAUGUUAGGCUAUGUUAGGUGGACAUUUUAUUAUUAAAAAAAAGUCAAUUUAGUACAUGAAGAUAAAGAAGCUCUAAUAUAUUGUGUGGAUGAACAGUAAGGCCAUUGUCGUUCAAUGUGAUGAUGUUUACCUUUGCAUUUGUUCUUUUAUAAUUGGAAAAGCGGGUAAGGGGAGGCUUGGAAAGGGUCGCGGCAUAGUGCUGCCGUCUCCCGGCAAAGCAGGCUGAGCUCCAGCUCUUAAAACAGCCUCCCGCAGCUGGGUCUUGCUUUUCCCUUACUCUCACGCUAAAAUUGGCUCGGGUGUAAAAUACGAUGCGGUGGUAAGUUUCAUAAGUUAAUUUAUUGGAAAUUAAUGACAUUAUUAUUAUUAUUAUUAUUAGUAGUAGUAGUAGUAGU